CAGCCGCCACGGUAAUACGUAGGGUGCGAGCGUUAAUCGGAAUUACUGGGCGUAAAGCGUGCGCAGGCGGUUUUGUAAGACAGAGGUGAAAUCCCCGGGCUCAACCUGGGAACUGCCUUUGUGACUGCAAGGCUAGAGUACGGCAGAGGGGGAUGGAAUUCCGCGUGUAGCAGUGAAAUGCGUAGAUAUGCGGAGGAACACCGAUGGCGAAGGCAAUCCCCUGGGCCUGUACUGACGCUCAUGCACGAAAGCGUGGGGAGCAAACAGGAUUAGAUACCCCCGUAGUCCCUGUCUCUUAUAC
rnacentral:rRNA from 1 species